GACGAAGGGGGCUAGCGUUGUUCGGAAUUACUGGGCGUAAAGCGCGUGUAGGCGGUUGCCCAAGUCGGGUGUGAAAUCCCCAGGCUUAACCUGGGAACUGCAUUCGAGACUGCAUUGCUAGAGUAUGGGAGAGGGAAGUGGAAUUUCCGGUGUAGCGGUGAAAUGCGUAGAUAUCGGAAGGAACAUCAGUGGCGAAAGCGACUUCCUGGACCAAUACUGACGCUCAUGUGCGAAAGCGUGGGGAGCAAACAGG
rnacentral:rRNA from 1 species